rnacentral:rRNA from 1 species
UACGAAGGGUGCAAGCGUUAAUCGGAAUUACUGGGCGUAAAGGGCGCGUAGGCGGAUCGUUAAGUCAGGGGUGAAAUCCCGGGGCUCAACCUCGGAACUGCCCUUGAUACUGGCGAUCUUGAGUAUGAGAGAGGUAUGUGGAACUCCGAGUGUAGAGGUGAAAUUCGUAGAUAUUCGGAAGAACACCAGUGGCGAAGGCGACAUACUGGCUCAUUACUGACGCUGAGGCGCGAAAGCGUGGGGAGCAAACAGG